UCCAAACCUGCCAAAGAAACACAGACAUUAUAGGAAAUAUAACUCAACCUGAUCUUUGACUAAUUUUGUCUUAAUUGUGAUGAUGGGUCUUUCAGGAGAACAUCACUACAUCGCAAUAACAACAAGGCUCCUUGGAAAGCAUGCCACCAACCUAACAUUUACUACUCUCCAGACAAAUUGUGGACAAAUUGAGAGCCACCAAUCCCCCAGACCAUACAGAGAACACAUCAGACAUGGACUGGACCUCUCAGCUCCAACAGCUUCAACAGUUACAAGAGCUGGAGGAUCAAGUUCAGCCAUGCAGAACUCUAUAAUUCAUUACUUUAACAUAAUUUACAUUAAGGUUUCUUUAACUGACAUUGCUUAGGACAUAAGUUAACAUGAACAAACCAUCUACUUCAGCAUGAAUACACCAUCAUUAACAUUAGCAAAGUAACUAACCCUUGUAUUAAUUGAUGCCUUCAUAAUAAAACAAAUAACCCACAUGAUCAACAUCUGUAUUCACCAAUGAGUAAAAUGAAUCCCAUAAUUAAAACUUGAAUCAGUGACUUAAUGAAACAUUUUUGUUUUUUAACUGGCAAAAUUCAGAACUGAGGCUGAAGCCCCAAUAUCUAUAUCUAGUGACCAGAGUUCAGUAAGUUAUCAACAUAUAGGAGCUAAUUUACUUACUUUAUUAUUUUGUUAACCUUACAUACAGUUCUAUUUUUGUGCAUUAUCAUGAUACAAAGCGGUAAAGUGAGAAAUACACUCUCUCCAAUGGGCAAUAGACAAACUCAGUUAUAUAACCACACAGCAUGGCCAUUUAGCUCAGUCACAGACCACACUGUUUUUCCAGUGAAUAGGUAAAGAACACAAAUACCUAGAGGUACAGGACAUUGCAUUUCAAA